rnacentral:rRNA from 1 species
CCUACGGGAGGCAGCAGUAAGGAAUAUUGGUCAAUGGAGGCAACUCUGAACCAGCCAUGCCGCGUGCAGGAUGACGGCCCUAUGGGUUGUAAACUGCUUUUAUACAAGAGAAAACCCUGGUACGUGUACCAGGUUGAUAGUAUUGUAAGAAUAAGCAUCGGCUAACUUCGUGCCAGCAGCCGCGGUAAGACGAAGGAUGCAAGCGUUAUCCGGAUUCAUUGGGUUUAAAGGGUGCGUAGGCGGACUGAUAAGUCAGUGGUGAAAUCUCUUUGCUUAACAAAGAAACUGCCAUUGAUACUGUCGGUCUAGAGUGUAGAUGACGUUGGCGGAAUAUGACAUGUAGUGGUGAAAUACUUAGAUAUGUCAUAGAACACCGAUUGCGAAGGCAGCUAACGAAACUAUAACUGACGCUGAGGCACGAAAGUGCGGGGAUCAAACAGGAUUAGAUACCCUGGUAGUCCGCACCGUAAACGAUGAUUACUCGUUGUUGGCGAUAUGACAGUCAGCGACCAAGCGAAAGCGAUAAGAAUCCACCUGGGGAGUACGCCGGCAACGGUGAAACUCAAAGGAAUUGACGGCGNGAGAGNGCGAGGACGACGACGAGGGAGGAGG